CGACUACAUUACAUUGAUACACCGGUUCCCGGAUGAUCACCGAAGUUAAACAAUGUCGAGCCUGUUCAGUAUCUAGAUGGUUAACCGUUUGGGAAUACCACGUGCUGUAA